rnacentral:rRNA from 1 species
GGAUGAACGCUGGCGGUAUGCUUAACACAUGCAAGUCGAACGGACUCUUCGGAGUUAGUGGCGGACGGGUGAGUAACGCGUGAGAAUCUGGCUUCGGGUCGGGGACAACAGUGGGAAACCGCUGCUAAUACCGGAUGUGCCUAUAUGGUGAAAGAUUAAUUGCCUGAAGAUGAGCUCGCGUCUGAUUAGCUAGUUGGUGUGGUAAGAGCGCACCAAGGCGACGAUCAGUAGCUGGUCUGAGAGGAUGAUCAGCCACACUGGAACUGAGACACGGUCCAGACUCCUACGGGAGGCAGCAGUGGGGAAUUUUCCGCAAUGGGCGAAAGCCUGACGGAGCAAUACCGCGUGAGGGAGGAAGGCUCUUGGGUUGUAAACCUCUUUUCUCAAGGAAUAAGUUCUGAAGGUACUUGAGGAAUCAGCAUCGGCUAACUCCGUGCCAGCAGCCGCGGUAAUACGGAGGAUGCAAGCGUUAUCCGGAAUGAUUGGGCGUAAAGGGUCCGCAGGUGGCAUUGAAAGUCUGCUGUCAAAGAGUGCAGCUCAACUGCAUAAAGGCGGUGGAAACUACAAAGCUAGAGUACGUUAGGGGCAGAGGGAAUUCCUGGUGUAGCGGUGAAAUGCGUAGAGAUCAGGAAGAACACCGGUGGCGAAAGCGCUCUGCUAGGACUGUACUGACACUGAGGGACGAAAGCUAGGGGAGCGAAUGGGAUUAGAUACCCCAGUAGUCCUAGCCGUAAACGAUGGAUACUAGGCGUUGCGCGUAUCGACCCGCGCAGUGCCGGAGCUAACGCGUUAAGUAUCCCGCCUGGGGAGUACGCAGGCAACUGUGAAACUCAAAGGAAUUGACGGGGGCCCGCACAAGCGGUGGAGUAUGUGGUUUAAUUCGAUGCAACGCGAAGAACCUUACCAGGACUUGACAUGUCCGGAACCCUGAUGAAAGUUAGGGGUGCCUUCGGGAGCCGGAGCACAGGUGGUGCAUGGCUGUCGUCAGCUCGUGUCGUGAGAUGUUGGGUUAAGUCCCGCAACGAGCGCAACCCUCGUUCUUAGUUGCCAGCACUUCGGGUGGGCACUCUAAGGAGACUGCCGGUGACAAACCGGAGGAAGGUGGGGAUGACGUCAAGUCAGCAUGCCCCUUACGUCCUGGGCUACACACGUACUACAAUGCUGUGGACAAUGGGCAGCAAGCAGGCAACUGCAAGCAAAUCUCACAAACCAUGGCUCAGUUCAGAUCGAAGGCUGCAACUCGCCUUCGUGAAGGUGGAAUCGCUAGUAAUUGCAGGUCAGCAUACUGCAGUGAAUUCGUUCCCGGGCCUUGUACACACCGCCCGUCACACCAUGGAAGCUGGUAGUGCCCGAAGUCGUUACCCUAACCACUUGUGGGGGGGGACGCCGAAGGCAGGACUGGUGACUGGGGUGAAGUCGUAACAAGGUAGCCGUACCGGAAGGUGUGGCUGGAUCACCUCCU